GAUUUAGAUGGUCUCCUGUUAUUAACUUUGUUAAGAUUUCUACCCAAAAUAAUUGCUUGAAAUAAGCAGGUGGAAUUAUUAUGGUUGCACCAUCCACUACAUGGCUCAAGAUAAUGAAUGGCUGAGAAGAUUUACUAUUUCCCCUCCCAUGAAACCCAAAUCCUGAAGAAUCAAUAUUCUCAUAUUUCAAAUAAGUUGUGCAUCUCUCAAGACUUUAAGAGAACAAGUACAUGCAAUGCAAUUGCAAGCAAGCCUGUACGGGGUUAUAUUCAUCAUCUUUACUAUUUGGAGCACUUUCUCUGAAGCAACCAAUCACUAUUCAAUCAUUGCCCUGAUUUGAAAUAAAAAUUAUCCUGAGAUAAAGAAUGAAUACCCAAGUCUAAACAGCACAUUUGCCAUCAGCCCUCCAUGCCAUAUCACAACCAAAAAAGAGUAACUUGAGGGUCCAGAGAAGUGAGGUUGCCUUACUUGUACCAGUGCCCCAGUUUAGUGAUAAAAUAGUUGCUCUUACACCUAUACAACUCAAAAGAAGGUUGCUUUCUGCAACCUUACCUCCAUCAUCUCUUGUUUUGUGGCUUCAAAUUCAUUUACACUGGGUUGCCCUGCAAACAUAAAAUGCUGCUAAUUGAACUGAAGGAGCAGCUUAUAAAUCUCAAUACUUUUUUCAAAUAGCAGUGAGAAUAAUGCAAAACAUGAAAUGAGACCAUGACUAAUUGCAAAUGCAGUAGGCAUCUAACUGUAACACCAUCGAAACCUUUUCUUUGAGAGAGAGAAGAGACUACUGAUGCUACCAUGAACAGUUUUUGACCACCCACAAGGCCAGAAAUUGUUGAUGUGCCACAAAACUUGGAAGAAAUUGGGUUUUAAAAAUUAUAAUUACUUACAUAUAAUGGGUGACGCGAACUUGACAACUUUUCCAGGAGCUAGACAAACCGGUGGAUACAGGAGUUGAUUGUUACCAGUUAGAAGCCAUUUUAUUUCCCCUACAAGGCUACAACCCAGCGUCUAUCCCUUACUUUCCUUUUAAAACUUGCACACAGAGAGGUGCAUAACAUAGAUAUGAAUGAAGAAUCUAAACAUAAUAAAUAGAUCAUAAGAAUGCACUUUAUUUUCUUGGCUGGUUAAGAACACGUACUUUGCAAUAAUUAUUUCUUGGAGGUACCAUGUAGAAGAUAUGAAGCUUUGGUACGAACCUUUGAUGCAUAAGGCCUCAAAUCUGUGCCAUUGAUUUGGCAAGAACAGUUUCGCAGAUAAACACCCCACAUUUCAUAGAUGACUGGCUUAUGUUCCAACAUCGGAUUGGACAAGAGCCAAUUCUCCGUCAAAACCAGGUAAAUAUACAUCUUGAAAAAAUCGCAAUUUUUGUCUUUCACAUUAAUUGAGAUGAGCAAGUUCAGGAUCUCUACUUCAUCAGUGGCCUUACUAUUAAAACAAACAAGCAGAAUCUGAUAAGAAACCGCACUUCUGAGGUGAUUACUACGAGUACCUACUCCUGAAAUGCACUCCACAGAUCGUAAGCAGUUCAAAUCCAAGGGGAUUCUGCAAGCAAGAGUUCUCGCUAUUUUUUCACAGCUGGUACUCCAUUCCUCAUCUGUGAAGUAACUGAUAGCCGAUUGCAUGCAUUUAUUCAAAAGCACCUGCAAACCUUGAAGCUGGCGAUCUAAAGACAGACAAAUAAGGAAUUUAACCAAUUCUUCAGCUUCUGAAGCUGAAAAGAUAGAUUGUUUGCUCCUCACAAGACAACAAGCAGAAGUGAAUUUAAUCCAGCCUCUAAUAUUGUUAGGUGGUCCUCUUCCACUAGAAUCUGAAAGAGAUGUUUACCGCACCAUAUGAGUCGGAAAACCACAUCUAUUUAAGAAUACCAAUUUACUAAUACCACAAAUCUUAAUGGAAAAAUCUAUCUUUUCACUCAAUGACCUCCUGCAAUCUAAUUCAGUUUCAGUAAAAAGCACCAAAGGCAACAAGUGUACAUUCGAUAUCACAACAUUCAAUGCCCAAAACAGCAUGAAGUAGGAAAGAAAUAAUGGUAAGACAAAGUAAAGCGAUAAAUAUGAAUGUUCCUCAAAUUAUAACACAAUACAAUCGAGUUUCUUUGAUUGCAAAAGGGCAUUAUAUCAUACUAAUUAAUCAACAAAAUCUUCUGUACAACUAAUUUAGCCAUAUUCAUCACAAUUAACACAUGUGCAGAGCAGAUAGCAUUUCAGGCAGCAACUGCUCAUUGUAAUUCUGCAUUGGGUCUGGAUAUGUAGGUCUAACAUUAACAACUGUCAUGCACACAUUCAAAGGAAACGUGAUAAACUGAUAAUAUUACACAACAGUAAUUCAUUAAAAUGCUUGUUCACUUCACAAUAAAUAAUACUCAAGCCCAGUCCACUGAAAUUUGAAAUGGAAAUUUGGAAGGUGACAUGGUAGAGAAAUUAAGAGAAAUCAAAAGGAAAAAAAUAAAAUGAAGAAAGAAAAAUAUGCAGAAAAGCAAAUGCAUCGUGCACCCCAAAUAUAGCAGACAUACAGGCUUCACCAGAGCAACAUAAUUACAUACAGGAAGAGAGCAUUUCUGUUAUUAGCAUUAUUCAUCUUACUAUCCUAAAAGUCCUACCUUCCAUGAGCAAAACAAAAAAGGAGCUAGACAUCUUGUUCUACCACAGGAAAAAACAAAUUGAUAUUGCCAGUUAAUAAAAUGCAUUUCGUUUAUGAUAUAGGAGGAACAUUGAUGAGGUAAGAGAAGAUACCCAUAUUUAACAAUUUUGGAUGUGAUGAAAAAUCAAAUAGAAAUCCAUAUAUUUCAAGAGCUCUUUGAAAAUCAGAGUAGCUAGGAAACCACUCAAUUCUAACGGGCAGCUUCUCCGCCUUAUUAUCAGGAGAAAGAAUGAUCCACCAGAAGUCACAUGCAGAUGUCCUCAACUCUUCUUUUGAUGAAUAUAACAUCAAAUUAAAAGUCCAUUUGGCUAUCAAUUUUUCUACAUGACAAUGUGCAGAAACCAAUUUUGAGAGCCAGCCAUUUACCAAUAAUCCUUCUAGAAAAUUGUCCCCUGUCAGAACAUUUCAAAGAGAUUGGUAGACAAAUAUUUAAUCAGAAACUUAUUUCAAAAUUCUAGUAUAGAACUCAAUAGUAGAGAACAGCAAAUUCAUAUCAAUAUUGGGAACAAAAAGGGAGAAAGAGCACGUCUGGUGAGGAAAAAAAUACUGUUGAGUGGGAAAACACUGAAUGAGUAGUAGGACUAGCUAGAAAUUCCUCGUACAUGCCCCCACUCUGGUAUGACCAUAUCUAGGUAAUGACUCUAAUAGGAAUUAGGAAGGCAAGUAAACCAUAGUAAAAUAAAAUAACUACCAUUUUCUGUACUCAGUUCGAUCAAAGUGUGGUGUUUAUUGCUCAUAAAAGACUGCAAUAAGGAGCAACUUCCAAGCUCAGGAAAAACAAGAGGCGGUGGGGGUUUCUGAUUUCCAAAAACCUGUACACCCCAUGUGGAGAUCUCUUCCUCACCACUCAUUUCUCUCAUCUGAUUGUGGCACUCAUUAAUUUUUCUUGAUAGUAAAGCUUCUUUGCCAUUGUCAUCUUCAUCAGAAUUGUAAUUCUUCUUAGCCUUUGCUCGUUUAGACUCCCUCUCAAUCACUUUGCUUUUCUCCUUAUAGUAAUCAGUCAAAAGAUCAUCCAAGCCAAUAACUUUCUUCCUUUUCUGAUUAAUAACAGGGGAACUAAGAAGUGGGUCUUCAGAUUCGAAAUCAAGAGGAUCGUCCAUGUUCACCAUCACUCUCUCUAAGCAAUCUCUUUCUUUUAUAUAUACGCAGUGUGUUCCUCUGGCAGCUAAAUUUUGAGAGAGAAGCGCGAAAGUGAGC
rnacentral:misc_RNA from 1 species